rnacentral:rRNA from 1 species
AGUGAACGCUGGCGGCGUGCCUAAUACAUGCAAGUCGAACGGAAUUUAAAAGAGCUUGCUCUUUUAAAUUUAGUGGCGCACGGGUGAGUAAUAUAUAGCUAAUCUGCCCCUUGCUGGAGGACAACAGUUAGAAAUGACUGCUAAUACUCCAUACUCCUUUUUACCAUAAGAUAAAUCGGGAAAGAAUUUCGGCAAGGGAUGAGACUAUAUCGUAUCAGCUAGUCGGUGGGGUAACGGCCUACCGAGGCUAUGACGCGUAACUGGUCUGAGAGGAUGAUCAGUCACAUUGGAACUGAGACACGGUCCAAACUCCUACGGGAGGCAGCAGUAGGGAAUAUUGCGCAAUGGGGGAAACCCUGACGCAGCAACGCCGCGUGGAGGAUGACACUUUUCGGAGCGUAAACUCCUUUUGUUAGGGAAGAAUAAUGACGGUACCUAACGAAUAAGCACGG